AUUUGACCUCAAAUCAGGUAGGAGUACCCGCUGAACUUAAGCAUAUCAAUAAGCGGAGGAAAAGAAAAUAACAAUGAUUCCCCUAGUAACUGCGAGUGAAGAGGGACAAGCUCAAAAUUUUAAAUCUGUUAGGUUUACCUAACCGAGUUGUAAUUUGAAGAGGCGUUUUCUGUGUUUCUGAUCAGCCCAAGUCCUUUGGGAUAGGGCAUCAUGGAGGGUGAGAAUCCCGUUCGGUUGGUCAGAUUCGCUUUACGAUACGUCAUCUAAGAGUCAAGUUGUUUGGGAUUGCAGCUUAAAAUGGGAGGUAAAUUUCUCCUAAGGCUAAAUAACGGCGAGAGACCGAUAGCGAACAAGUACCGUGAGGGAAAGAUGAAAAGAACUUUGAAAAGAGAGUUAAACAGUACGUGAAAUUGUUGAAAGGGAAACGAUUGAAGCCAGUCGUACCUUCGGGUAAUCAGCCUUUCGGGUGCGAUUCUGUGGAGCGUGAGGAGUUAAACGCCUUCAUGCCUGCAUAUUCGUGCACUUUGGGUGUACUUGCCCGUGUGGUAGGUUAACAUCAAUUUCGGAUAUCAUAAAAUGGCUGGAGGAAUGUAGCUUCGGUCUCGUACUGAAGUGUUAUAGCCUCUGGUAGAUGUGAUGACCGGGAUUGAGGAUUGCAACGAAUACCUUUUGGGCUACCCGCCUGAUCUCUGAAAGUUGCUCUGGUGCCGAAAGCUUGCUUACGGUUAUCAAAGUUGACGUUCAAAAGGUUAGAACGGGUUAAAUUCGUUAAGGAUGUUGACGUAAUGGCNNNAANNGNCCCGUCUUGAAACACGGACCAAGGAGUCUAACAUAUAUGAGUGUUC
rnacentral:rRNA from 1 species